AGGGAAUCUUCGGCAAUGGACGGAAGUCUGACCGAGCAACGCCGCGUGAGUGAAGAAGGUUUUCGGAUCGUAAAGCUCUGUUGUAAGAGAAGAACGAGUGUGAGAGUGGAAAGUUCACACUGUGACGGUAACUUACCAGAAAGGGACGGCUAACUACGUGCCAGCAGCCGCGGUAAUACGUAGGUCCCGAGCGUUAUCCGGAUUUAUUGGGCGUAAAGCGAGCGCAGGCGGUUAGAUAAGUCUGAAGUUAAAGGCUGUGGCUUAACCAUAGUACGCUUUGGAAACUGUUUAACUUGAGUGCAGAAGGGGAGAGUGGAAUUCCAUGUGUAGCGGUGAAAUGCGUAGAUAUAUGGAGGAGCACCGGUGGCGAAAGCGGCUCUCUGGUCUGUAACUGACGCUGAGGCUCGAAAGCGUGGGGAGCAAACAGGAUUAGAUACCCUGGUAGUCCACGCCGUAAACGAUGAGUGCUAGGUGUUGGGUCCUUUCCGGGACUCAGUGCCGCAGCUAACGCAUUAAGCACUCCGCCUGGGGAGUACGACCGCAAGGUUG
rnacentral:rRNA from 1 species